rnacentral:lncRNA from 1 species
GGCAGGAAGGAAGGAAGGAAGAAGAAAGUCCAAAUCCCAAGAAACACCUGAUGUAUCUGCUACCUACACCCUGUCUCCCUUCAUCCCCCACACUCACAGCUGUUUAGCAGAGGAAUCCCAGUGACACCCCGGGUCCCAGAGAAAAGCCUGCCCUGCCUUCCAGUUCCAGUGCAUGAGGCAUGAAGCCGACUGUUCAGGAAGUCAAGACUUAUUUGUGAAACGAAAGGCAGUGGACCCCUGUGUUGCUGCUGGUGGGGAGCCCAGUAGGUGGGAUGCUAGUCCAGCCCCUUUGGCAGUGGCGGAUUCUCCAGAUGGACUUAGUCACCUGAUGCUUGGCAAGACUCGGCCCCAGCUACCCCAGUGGGAGGGGGUUGUGGACAAUGGAGACACUCAGAAUGAUUGACCAAAAUGGUUUUGAAACCUCUAGACCAAGGACCAUUAAUCUGAAAAUGGCUCUGACUCUAUUUGAUUUCAAUAGAAAGAAACGGCUCCUUUUGAAAUGGAUAGUGACAGCCAAGCUCAGAGAUAACAGACUGGCAAUGACAAGACUCUACUUUUUAAAACAAACAACAGAAAACCUUCCCUAGCUGUGUUUGGACAGUUUCACUCUGUUGAUUUUUAAACCAUCAUGAGAGUUGAUCACAUUCACUUCCCCACCUGCCCUCCCUCCAUUGGCGCCCAGACCUGCCACCCAACUUCCUGGAAGGUCAGAGGGAUCCCGACCAGGAGAGAGGAUACUGGAGCAUGGGGGAAAGCAGGGAGAGGGUGCACUGGGUGCAGAGAAACCAGGGGGACCCGAAGGGGACACAAGCUAGGCAGUCCCCACAGGCCCUGCGCCCUUCACCCCUUCCACAUGCUAGGGAAAGAAACCAUUGUGUGAACAGAGGCAAUACUGUAUGAAGGGAGGAAAGGCGACGAAAAAGAAUUUUACAUGGACCUUAGAGAGGAAAGGAGGAAAGGAAUCUGGUGUGUGUAUGUGUAUGUGUGUGUGUGUGUGUGUUCGUGUACAUGCACAGGUACACGUGUUUUAGCCCUAGACACGUGGCCUAUCAGAAGGACAUGAGACAAGGUCAGGAAUGAACUCCCCUUUGAAUCACCCUUAAGCAGGCAGACGAAUUAGGACUGAUUUAUGAAUGUAUUUCCACAAUUUACUUGAAAAUUUGUAAUGUCUGUGCAGCCUGGCAAGAAAAAAAAAAGGCGAGGCACUGUGAAGGAAUGCUUCUGCUCCACUUCAUUGUAAAAUUAUCCCAUGCUACCUGCUCUAAUCCCCUGAAAACAAAUUAAAUCCUCACUAAGCUGACUUUAAAUCAAUAGUUUCAUUUAAGAAUAGUGUGACUUAAUAAAAAUAAAAAACUAACUGGUCCAGCCAAUUUAAGAGGGAAAUAAAUCAUUGCCCAAAGAAAAAUAGCAGAUUUGACUUGUAUAUGGGCCCUGGCUCUGUUUAGAAGGGAGAGGUGGUGUCUAAAUUAACUCUGGCUGGGGAAGAAGCUCAUAGACCCAUUCAGAAACUCACUUUACCAUGCACAUCCCAGGAAUAAGGAGGCCAGCCACCCCCAAAAUGGGAAACAGCAUCUCAGUCUAUAUUUUGAAAAAUGUAACCACUAAAAAAUAGAAGAUGGCAUCCUCGGAAGCAUCCUGGCAACCCUGAGACUGCAGCGCUCACAUGUGAAGACCAAGAAACCCAUGUCUGGUCAUGGCAGAAGCCACAAGGUUCCUCUUGAAGAUGCACUGGUUAAGGCAACAGUGUCCUCAACAAGCCGGGACAAAGGCAAAAUUAGGUGUGCUGGAUAAACAUCAGUAAUUAUAAUAGGUGCACAAUCUAUGUGCAAUUAUUCUUUGGAAUAAAUCUAAGUGUGGGGUAGACAUAUUUUUGGCAGUAUACAAAGGCCUGACUACCAUUUUAUGAAUAAAGAAAGUCAUCUAGAACAAAAGAGUAAGACUCGACACAAUAGGGCAAGUAGUUACAGAGAAAAGUCUGAAAUCCCAUAAUUCUAAACUAGCACUUUAUCCCAUUUAGCAGAGUACUUCUUUACUAAUCAUAUAAAUUAGAAAAAUGCUUAGGACCCGACGCUUGCUUACUUAAUUCAUUAUGUAUUGGGGAUAUAUAAACAUUAAAGUGAGUGCCUUCAAAACACGACACAUCAAUAUUAUCAGUGUCACUAUUGCCACUAACAUAUUUUAAACAUUUAAUAAUUAUACAACGUCAAGUCAGUUACUUACUGACGUUCAUUGCAAUCGAGCACUUUUAUUUAUCAUUUUGACAAUAACAAAUAAUAAAACAUAUUCCUUCUAGUAAAAGAUUUAAGCCUAAAGAAGCCAGGCAAGACCAUUUAGUUCCUUACCAUAGUCCCUCUCUCAGAGACUACAUUAAUUUUCAUUUGUUGGCCAGAAAAAUACCUGGCCAAAUACCUAGAGAAAUCAGUGUAUGAAGAUGGCACAGUUUGGUGGAAACACUCUGGCUUAGACUCAGGCUCUGGAGGCUCAAGUCAUGCCCCCACAUUUAGAAUCCUGUAUUGUUUACCUAGUUAUUUGACAUUCUGGCCUUAGUUUUGUCAUCUGUAAGAUGGAGGCAAUAAUACCUGCACAGUUUAUGGAGUUAUUAGGUGGCCCCAAGCAGGCGAUGGAGGGUACUUUGCAAGGUGAUACACAAAAGUGAGAAAUGACCGGGCCUCCCGUCUGUCCAAGGACAAGCAUGCUUCCGGCAGGGUCUGCUGUGUGCACGGAGCACCCGUCAGCCUGGAGCAGACCUGAGACGCUGGCACAAGAACUGUCAUCUGGAGAAGCGUCACCUCCUGUCCGGCUGAGGUUCCACGGGGCUUCUGCCAGAGACCUGAAUAAAUGUUAUAGAACA